CAAGCACGCCGGAUGAUCGCGGUUGGCGUACCUAACGGGACGCUGGCUGAGGAAAGUCCGCACUCCACAGAGCACGGUGCCGGCUAACGGCCGGGCGAGGCGACUCGCCGGAAUAGUGCAACAGAGAGGUAUAUUGCCUGCUUUAGCAGGUGAGGGUGAAACGGUGGUGUAAGAGACCACCGGCGUUGGCAGCAAUGUCAGCGGCCAGGUAAACCCCACCGGGAGCAAACCCAAGCAGGAUGAAAGACUUCGGUCUACGGGGCGGCUCGUCCCGUCACACAUCCGGGUAGGGUGCACGAGGGUGUUGGUAACAGCACUCCCAGAUAGAUGAUCAUCGGCAAUGGCUUUCGGGCUGUUGCCACAGAAUGCGGCUUAUAGGCGAGCUUGGAAA
rnacentral:RNase_P_RNA from 1 species